rnacentral:rRNA from 1 species
UAGGGAAUCUUCGGCAAUGGACGAAAGUCUGACCGAGCAACGCCGCGUGAGUGAAGUAGGUUUUCGGAUCGUAAAACUCUGUUGUUAGAGUAGAACAAGGACGUUAGUAACUGAACGUCCCCUGACGGUAUCUAACCAGAAAGCCACGGCUAACUACGUGCCAGCAGCCGCGGUAAUACGUAGGUGGCAAGCGUUGUCCGGAUUUAUUGGGCGUAAAGCGAGCGCAGGCGGUUUCUUAAGUCUGAUGUGAAAGCCCCCGGCUCAACCGGGGAGGGUCAUUGGAAGCUGGGAGGCUUGAGUGCAGAAGAGGGGGGUGGAAUUCCAUGUGUAGCGGUGAAAAGCGUAGAUAUAUGGAGGAACACCAGUGGCGAAGGCGGCUCUCUGGACUGUAACUGACGCUGAGGCUCGAAAGCGUGGGGAGCAAACAGG